rnacentral:tRNA from 1 species
GGGGCAUUAGCUCAGCUGGGAGAGUGCUUGCAUGGCAUGCAAGAGGUCGCGGGUUCGAGCCCCGCAUGCUCCA